AUGGCGCGUGUCGAAGCCUCCAUGCGGCGCGUACGUCCGCACCGGCAACACACGGCAAAGUGGGAACACAACUGUCACACACCCGCGGGUUCCCGGCACCCACCUCUAGGCCAUUGUUCCAGCGACCGCCCUACCUCGUCGGUCGUCGCCUCUCCCCACAUAUACUUGCGCUCUCCCUGCCCACCUGAGCCACACCCGCCUGCGACCAGUUCACCCACCGAUCACCUGAAGAUCACAUACUACUCGUCAAUCUUUGCUGGGCAGUUGGCAUCGAUGGCUCCUGCCGGGAACAGGGGCGCCCGCGCGGUCGCGCCGGCGGUGCUGGUGCUGGCGCUGGCGCUGGCGCCGCGGGGCGCGAGCGCGGCGCUGACGUGCUCCACGGUGUACAACGAGCUGAUGCCGUGCCUCGGGUACGUGCAGUCGGGCGGGGCGGUGCCGCGGGCGUGCUGCUCGGGGAUCAAGACGCUCGUGUCCAGGGCGCGCGCCACGCCCGACCGCCGCGCCGCCUGCGCCUGCCUCAAGACCGUGGCCGCCGCCGCGGCGGGCGGGCCGUACCUCGGCCGCGCCGCGGGGCUGCCCGGCAGGUGCGGCGUCCAGCCGCCCUUCAAGAUCGACCCCAACGUCAACUGCAACGCGGUAUAA
rnacentral:rRNA from 1 species